rnacentral:misc_RNA from 1 species
GAUGAAGAACGCAGCGAAAUGCGAUAAGUAAUGUGAAUUGCAGAAUUCAGUGAAUCAUCGAAUCUUUGAACGCACAUUGCGCCCCUUGGUAUUCCGAGGGGCAUGCCUGUUCGAGCGUCAUUAUAACCCCUCAAGCUCAGCUUGGUGUUGGGGCCUGCCGCACGGGCAGCCCUUAAAAUCAGUGGCGGUGCCAUCUGGCUCUAAGUGUAGUGAUUCUUCUCGCUAUAGAGUCCCGGUGGAUGCUUGCCAUUAACCCCCAAUUUUCUAUGGUUGACCUCGGAUCAGGCAGGGAUACCCGCUGAACUUAAGCAUAUCAAUAAGCGGAGGA